GAUGAAGAACGCAGCGAAAUGCGAUACGUAAUGUGAAUUGCAGAAUUCAGUGAAUCGUCGAAUCUUUGAACGCAUAUUGCGCUCUCUGGUAUUCCGGAGAGCAUGCUUGUUUGAGUAUCAGUAAACACCUCAACUUCCAUAUCUUUUUUGAAAUGGGAGUUGGACUUGAGUGAUCCCAACGCUUUUCCUCACCGAAAAGUGGCGGGUUACUUGAAAUGCAGGUGCAGCUGGACUUUUCUCUGAGCUAUAAGCAUAUCUAUUUAGUCUGCCUAAAAACAGAUUAUUACCUUUGCUGCAGCUAACAUAAAGGAGAUUAGUUCUUGUGCUGACUGAUGCAGGAUUCACAAAGACAGGCUUCGGCCGACUUUGUAAACUCGAUCUCAAAUCAAGUAAGACUACCCGCUGAACUUAAGCAUAUCAAUAAGCGGAGGA
rnacentral:misc_RNA from 1 species